CUACGGGGCGCACCAGUGAGGAAUAUUGGUCAAUGGGCGAAAGCCUGAACCAGCCAUGCCGCGUGAAGGAUGACGGCCCUAUGGGUUGUAAACUUCUUUUAUACGGGAAGAAACACCUCUACGUGUAGAGGUUUGACGGUACCGUACGAAUAAGCAUCGGCUAACUCCGUGCCAGCAGCCGCGGUAAUACGGAGGAUGCAAGCGUUAUCCGGAUUUAUUGGGUUUAAAGGGUACGUAGGCGGAAACUUAAGUCAGUAGUGAAAUCCCGCAGCUUAACUGUGGAACUGUUAUUGAUACUGGGUUUCUUGAAUAUUGUUGAGGUAGGCGGAAUAAGUAAUGUAGCGGUGAAAUGCUUAGAUAUUACUUAGAACACCGAUUGCGAAGGCAGCUUACUAAGCAAUUAUUGACGCUGAGGUACGAAAGCGUGGGGAGCGAACAGGAUUAGAUACCCCUGUAGUC
rnacentral:rRNA from 1 species